rnacentral:rRNA from 1 species
CCCUUAGAUGUUCUGGGCCGCACACGCGCUACACUGAAGGAGGCAGCGUGUACUCCUGGAUCGAAAGAUUUGGGUAACCCGCGAAUCUCCUUCGUGCUAGGGAUUGAGGUUUGCAAUUAUCCUUCAUGAACGAGGAAUUCCCAGUAAGUGCAAGUCUUAAGCUUGCGCUGACUACGUCCCUGCCCUUUGUACACACCGCCCGUCGCUACUACCGAUUGAAUGAUUUAGUGAGGACUUCGGACUGGGACCGAUGCGGCUUUCGGGCUGCGUCGGUAUUCUGGAAAGAUGUCCAAACUGUAUCAUUUAGAGGAAGUAAAAGUCGUAACA